AAUCAUGUUAAACUCAAAUACAUACUCAUAUCGAUUCUCAAUUAACCAAUGAUGACUCCAAUGAAGAAGUAUUAGAAACUCUUUAUAAUCUCCUUUCUACUUUUGGCCAAAAGAUUUUUUUCAAGUCAUCAAGGAUUGAGAAUACACAGGAUGCGAUCUUCUCUUACUAGGAAUGAUCGAUUCCAUGUUGACCUACUCACAAUCUCCAUAUACACUCCACCAUAUCCAGAACACCCUGUACAUGUCUUAAUGCCAUGCCUGGGUAUGAACCAAAAUAUGAGUUCAUGUGCAUAAGAUUCUAUGGUGGUCUCAGGUCUAAAGAUCACUUGCACAACUCUCACUUAGAGAACCAUCUUUAAUAUGCAAGUAAAGCUUCCAUAAGAUGUUCUCUUUCAUCGAUUCAAUUCAAUGGACUUAUUUUUCAAAUGAGCACCCACAUCCUUGUAUUAGUGUCCCACAUAAGUGGCUAGUAAGAUCUACCACCCUCUCCAUCGAGCAUACAUAGAAUGUGCCAGUCUAUCCAGAACAUUGAUCUCCGACUCAAUACUCCUAUAAUCAU
rnacentral:lncRNA from 1 species